GAAAGCCGUGUGCGGGAAAACUGCAUGCACGGUUUGAUGAGGAAGGGCUGGUGAGGUUGCCUAUGGAAUGGCUAUUGAGGCACCGCCAAACGAAAGGGGCGGAAACAGAUAAGCAAGUCCUAAUGGCAAUCAAAACCAGUCCUUUACUCUAC
rnacentral:ncRNA from 1 species